AUACGUAGGGGGCGAGCGUUGUCCGGAAUGAUUGGGCGUAAAGGGCGCGCAGGCGGCUUUGCAAGUCAGUAGUGGAAGUCCAUUUUUCAAGGAUGGAAGUGCUACAGAAACUGCGGAGCUUGAGUGCAGGAGAGGUUAUCGGAAUUCCCGGUGUAGCGGUGAAAUGCGUAGAGAUCGGGAGGAACACCAGUGGCGAAGGCGGGUAACUGGGCUGCAACUGACGCGGAGGCGCGAAAGUGUGGGGAGCAAACAGGAUUAGAUACCCUGGUAGUCCACGCUGUAAACGAUGGAUACUAGGUGUAGGGGGUAUCGACUCCCUCUGUGCCGGAGCGAACGCAAUAAGUAUCCCGCCUGGGGAGUACGGCCGCAAGGUUGAAACUCAAAUGAAUUGACGGGG
rnacentral:rRNA from 1 species